AUCCAACUGACGAGUCCCAGUAAACGGAACGCGCGUCCUGGAU
rnacentral:hammerhead_ribozyme from 1 species